rnacentral:rRNA from 1 species
UUUAUGGAGAGUUUGAUCCUGGCUCAGGACGAACGCUGGCGGCGUGCCUAAUACAUGCAAGUCGAGCGGA